UAACGCGUGAGGAACCUGCCUUCCAGAGGGGGACGAACAGUUGGAAACGACUGCUAAUACCGCAUGAUGCGUUGGAGCCGCAUGACUCUGACGUCAAAGAUUUAUCGCUGGAAGAUGGCCUCGCGUCUGAUUAGCUAGUUGGUGAGGUAACGGCCCACCAAGGCGACGAUCAGUAGCCGGACUGAGAGGUUGGCCGGCCACAUUGGGACUGAGAUACGGCCCAGACUCCUACGGAAGGCAGCAG
rnacentral:rRNA from 1 species